GUUGCCACCCAAAUGUCAUCUUGAGUUGUAUUCCCGUAAUCCCCAUGUAUUGUGGGAGGGAUUCGGUGGGAAGUAAAUCAGAUCAUGGGGACGGUUUCCCCAAUAUUGUUCUUGUGGUAGUGAAUAAGUCUCACGAGAUCUGAUGGUUUUAUCAGGGGUUUCUGCUUUUGCAUCUUCCUCAUUUUCUCUUGCCACCACCAUGUAAGAAGUGCCUUUCGCCUCCUGACAUGAUUUUGAGGUCUUCUCAGCCAUGUAAAACUUUCUAAGGCUGAGGGGCCCAGGAAAAGCUGCUGGUCAGGUGCCUCUUCCUAACUUGUAGAUGACCACCUCCUUGCUGUGUUCUCAUGCGCACUUUAGAUAUAUAAUUCUACUCUCUUGGCCUGCAAGCUUACCACAGAAGAAUCUUCUGCUAGUCUACUUGAGGAUGUCUUGUACAUAAAAAGUCAUUUUUUUUUUUUUGCUGCUUUUACAAUUCCCUCCUUAUUUUUCAGCAGUUUGAUUAUAAUGUAUCUCAUUAUGAGUAACUUUGAAUUUUAUUCUACUAGUGCUUUUGGAGUUUCCUGAAUUUGUAUAUCCAUGACUUUUUUUUUUUCAAAUUUGGAAAGUUUUCAGUCAUUACUUUUUUCCAGUAAGUUCUUUGUCUCUUGCUCUCUCUGUCUUUACUUGCCUAUUAAAGUCUGCUGUUAGACCCCAGCUUUGAUUUGUUUUAGCUCUUGAAUUUCUGUUUGUUUCUUUAUUUGCAAUUCUUAGCUGUUUGCUGAUAUUUUAAUUAUGUUCAUAUGUUAUUUUCCUGACUUCCUUUAUCUCUUUGAGCAUAUUUAGUACAGUUAAUUUAAAGUCUUUGUCUAGCAAAUAUAAUAUCUGUUUCUUCCGUGGUGGUUUCUGAAUAUUAAUGUUGUUACUUUAAAUCGGCCGUGUUUUCAUAUUUUUUUGCAUACUUUGUGAUUGUUUGUUAGAAACUUGGCAUUUGUCAAAACAACCACUGAUCCCAGUCUUUAUAGAAUUGCUAUGUGCAAGGAAAUACAUUCACUUUUUACCCUGGCACAAAGUUUUAAGGUUUUCUCAGACUUAUAUGGAAAAUGCAUCUUCCAUGAGUGUGCUUGCAUUAUUUUUUUUAAUUACCCUGUAUAUGUAGCUGCUUUCUAAGUGUUGAUUUCGCAAUGAAUCACACAGUUGCUUCUCCUAAUUGACUUCACUUUUCUAUUGUAUUCCACAAACAGUAUUCUCUUGUCCCAGUCUUAUGUGAGUCUGUAACUCCCUUGAUAUUUUUGGGAGAAAUCUGCUUCCUGUAGAUUUCUGUAGCUUGAGAUCUAAACUGUGAUAGUUUUGGCUAUUUGAACUGUAAAUUAUGCAAAACAGAAACUAUCAGGUAGAUCUUAGACAUGUUAAAAUGCUACAAAUUAGGUUCAUUUUUGGUAAGCAGAAGGGAAUUGGAUUGCUGCUUUCCCCAAAACAGGUCAUGUAGAAAAUGUUUCUACCAUUUUUAAUGUGCCUUUAACUCGAUUGGGCAUUUGGCUUCUUGCUAUAGAUAUUUUAUAGAUUUUUAGAGCCAUUGUAAGGUUAUUUAAAAUAAUCUGUUUAUUUAAUGUUUUUGUGGAUAACAGAGACUUGAAGCUAACUAUCUACUAUACUGCUGAUGUCAUGAUGUCAUUACUAAGUCUGUUUCUUUUGUUUUGUUUUGUUUUUUGUUUUUUGUUU